GGGGGAGGGAGGGAGGGAGGGGAGGGGGGUGCGGUUGGGGAGGAGGGUGGUAUCUAGUAUGCUGCAGAAAUAUCGUUCAACAACACAUACACAAAGAAGCAUCCUGUAUGUAGCAUCUGCUUUGCUGCAGAUUGGCCAAGAUAAAUUGCUGAGGCAUUCAAGAUUAAUAAUCUACUAAACAAGGAGGAAAAAAACUAGGAAUGAGAGAAUUUCCCGCUUCUUUUAUAAGAGAUAGGGGAGAAAAUAAAAUUGCACGUACUUGUACUUAUUUGUUGAUGCUUGGAAGUAAUUUACGAAGAAAAAAUGCAGUGGAGAUAGGGGAGAAAAUACAAUUGCAAGUACUGCAACUAAUUAGUUGAUACUUGGAAGUAAUUUAUGAAGAAAAGAUGCCGUGGAGAUGGGCGAGAAAAUACAAUUGCAAGUACUUUAACAUACUAGUUGAUGCUCGGAAG
rnacentral:misc_RNA from 1 species